rnacentral:rRNA from 1 species
GUGAGGAGUUUUCCGCAAUGGGCGAAAGCCUGACGGAGCAAUGCCGCGUGAAGGAUGAAGGCCUAUGGGUUGUAAACUUCUUUUCUCAGAAAAGAAUUAUGACGGUAUCUGAGGAAUAAGCAUCGGCUAACUCUGUGCCAGCAGCCGCGGUAAGACAGAGGAUGCAAGCGUUAUCCGGAAUGAUUGGGCGUAAAGCGUCUGUAGGUUGUUUAAAAAGUAUUCUGUCAAAGAUUAGGGCUUAACCCUAGAUAGGCAGAAUAAACUUUUAAGCUAGAGUUUGGUAGAGGCAGAGGGAAUUCCCGGUGGAGCGGUGAAAUGCGUAGAUAUCGGGAGGAACACCAAAGGCGAAGGCACUCUGCUGGGCCAAUACUAACACUGAGAGACGAAAGCGAGGGGAGCAAAUGGGAUUAGAAACCCCAGUAGUCC